UCUCCGUUGGUGAACCAGCGGAGGGAUCAUUACAGAGUCGUAAAACACUCCCAAACCCAUGUGAACUUACCAAUGUUGCCUCGGCGGACCUACCCUGUAGCGAGUUACCCUGGAACGACUUACCCUGUAACGCCUGCCGGUGGACUACUAAACUCUUGUUAUUUUUAAAGUAAUCUGAGCGUCUUAUUUUAAUAAGUCAAAACUUUCAACAACGGAUCUCUUGGUUCUGGCAUCGAUGAAGAACGCAGC
rnacentral:misc_RNA from 1 species